CUCCAUCAAAUUAAUAUACUGGACCCCCUCCCCCAAGCCCCUCUUCUCCUACCUUACAAUUUGUUGUCCAUCCUCCGGUUCCAGCUCCAUCCCUGCUGAAGCAGGCCAGACACUCCUCUAGCACUGGGAGCAGGAGGGAAGGGGCAGUGGCUGUUCUAGUCUGCUCUGCAGACACACAGCCACUCUGCCCUCUUGUGGCAAGGAGAGCAAGAAUCAGGAAAUACUUUUCCUAUCUUGCUGGUUGCAGCAACAGCUGAAAGCAACCCCAGGGCGGGCGGGCCGCAUGUUUGACAUGCUUGCUGUACAUAUUUAGACAAACUGGUAGAAAAUAAAAGGAGAUCUCUGCACAUGACCGUAAAACUUAGUAUUACUAACAGUAAUCAAAAGUGAGAUGGCCUGAGGGGCGGGGCCUGACCACCAUGCUGACCGGUCGCAUGCUACUGAGGCUCCUGCUGAAUCCUACUUAAAACGGAAGAAAUAAUGAACUCACUGAAGAUAAUCGUGAGGAGAAGUCCACUACUGUGCACAGGAGUUGGGGGCGCUACCACGGACUACGAGAUCGGGAGUUUUGGGGCCCCUGCGGUACAAAACUUCUGAGCCUGCGGCCUACUUAGGUGAGACACGGGGCAGACAACCGCUGACCUGCUCGCAAGCCUAGCUGCCAUACCAAG